rnacentral:rRNA from 1 species
UACGUAGGUGGCAAGCGUUGUCCGGAUUUACUGGGCGUAAAGAGCGCGCAGGCGGUCGUUCAAGUCGAGUGUGAAAGCUCCAGGCUUAACCUGGGAAUUGCGCUCGAUACUGUUGAGCUAGAGUGUGGAAGGGGCUACUGGAAUUCCGUGUGUAGCGGUGAAAUGCGCAGAUAUCAGGAAGAACACCAAUGGCGAAGGCAGCUCUCUGGGACGGUACUGACGCUGAGACGCGAAAGCGUGGGGAGCGAACAGG